rnacentral:rRNA from 1 species
AUUUCAGGGGUGCAGCCUGUAUCAGCCAUGCCGCGUGUGUGAAGAAGGCCUUCGGGUUGUAAAGCACUUUCAGUAGGGAGGAAGGCUUCGGGUUAAUACCCUGGAGUACUUGACGUUACCUACAGAAGAAGCACCGGCUAAUUUCGUGCCAGCAGCCGCGGAAAUACA